AGGAUAAUAUUUAAUUAUAAUAUUUGAUUUGCACUCAAAAGGUGUUGAUUUAUCAACUUAUCUU
rnacentral:tRNA from 1 species